CGGGCCUGGCUUUUGCGUUCUUCUGGCCAGCCAGACUUUCUGGUUGAUGGCCCGGCAGCAAAAUUCUUAGCCCCUGUAGUGUGGACUCGUCAUUUCAGGCCAAGUCGAAAAUGCGGCCGACCGCCCCCACACUUCCAAUUUCAGAAACAGAACUUUACGGCUCUGAGGAGUGCGAGGGAGAGUGAAGAAUGCCUACUGCUUGCUCUUCCCCUCUCAAUCUAAAUAACCCCUCCUCCCCUGUCCCUCCCCUGCCUCCAGCCUUCUUUCCAUAUCCUCACCUGGCCGAUUUGAGCUUUGAAAGGGUGAAGAGAAGAGGAGAGUGAGAGAGAGAAAGAGGGAGCAGGGCUGUGCCAGCCCCCUGCAGCAAAGAGCAACUUGGAAAUGGCGGGGUCAACGAAAACAGCUCGAGUAAAGACUGUGAUGGGAACUUUGCCCAAGCGAGAGGCAGAAGCAAGAUAAGUUAUCCAGCAAAAUGUGAGCAGGCAAUUUUCUGAUGCUGGGCCAAGGCCUUUCUGACUGUGAAUCUGCUGCUGAGAAUUCCACGUUGCCUUUUUUACAUAAACCCUUUGCGAAU